rnacentral:rRNA from 1 species
AGUUUGAUCCUGGCUCAGGAUGAACGCUAGCGGCAGGCUUAACACAUGCAAGUCGAGGGGCAGCGCGGGGUAGCAAUACCCUGGCGGCGACCGGCGGAAGGGUGCGUAACACGUGAGCAACCUGCCCGUGACAGGGGGAUAAGCGCUGGAAACGGCGUCUAAUACCGCGUAAUACAGGGAGUGGCAUCACGCCUUGUUGAAAGCUACGGCGGUCACGGAUGGGCUCGCGGGACAUUAGCUAGUCGGCGGGGCGACGGCCCACCGAGGCGACGAUGUCUAGGGGUUCUGAGAGGAAGGCCCCCCACACUGGGACUGAGACACGGCCCAGACUCCUACGGGAGGCAGCAGUGAGGAAUAUUGGACAAUGGUGGGAACACUGAUCCAGCCAUGCCGCGUGAGGGAAUGAGGCCCUACGGGUCGUAAACCUCUUUUGGCGGGGAGCAAUAAGGGCCACGCGUGGCCUGAUGAGAGUACCCGUCGAAUAAGCAUCGGCUAACUCCGUGCC